rnacentral:rRNA from 1 species
UACAGAGGGGGCAAGCGUUAUUCGGAAUUAUUGGGCGUAAAGGGCGCGUAGGCGGCCUUGCAAGUGGCGGGUGAAAUCCCUCGGCUUAACCGAGGAACUGCCUGCCAGACUGCAAGGCUCGAGACCGGGAGAGGUGAGUGGAAUUCCCAGUGUAGCGGUGAAAUGCGUAGAUAUCUGGAGGAACACCGGUGGCGAAGGCGGCAUCCUGGACCAACACUGACGCUGAGUGAGCGAAAGCCAGGGGAGCAAACGGG